rnacentral:rRNA from 1 species
CUUGGUCAUUUAGAGGAAGUAAAAGUCGUAACAAGGUUUCCGUAGGUGAACCUGCGGAAGGAUCAUUAAGUGCUAGGCGGUUCAGCCCGUCUGGGUUCUCCCACGAUGCAAGUCGUGUGCCGCGGACGAUUUAAUCCCUGAGAUUACUUCUCCGACGUGAGUUCCUUCAGCCAACCCUUCGUUAAUUCUACCUUUGUUGCUUUGGCAGGACGCUUUUUAAGCUCGCGGCUUCGGCUGCGACGUGCCUGCCAGAGGACCCAACUCUUGAUUUUAGUGAUGUCUGAGUACUAUAUAAUAGUUAAAACUUUCAACAACGGAUCUCUUGGUUCUGGCAUCGAUGAAGAACGCAGCGAAAUGCGAUAAGUAAUGUGAAUUGCAGAAUUCAGUGAAUCAUCGAAUCUUUGAACGCACAUUGCGCCCCUUGGUAUUCCGAGGGGCAUGCCUGUUCGAGCGUCAUUAUAACCACUCAAGCCUCGGCUUGGUCUUGGGGUUCGCGGUCUCGCGGCUCUUAAACUCAGUGGCGGUGCCGUCUGGCUCUAAGCGUAGUAAAUCUCUCGCUAUAGGGUCCCGACGGUUCCCUGCCAGAACCCCCUAAUUUUUUUACGGUUGACCUCGGAUCAGGUAGGGAUACCCGCUGAACUUAAGCAUAUCAAUAAGCGGAGGA